rnacentral:rRNA from 1 species
UACGAAGGGGGCUAGCGUUGUUCGGAAUUACUGGGCGUAAAGCGCGCGUAGGCGGUUUUGCAAGCCAGAGGUGAAAUGCCUGAGCUCAACUCAGGAAUGGCCUUUGGGACUGCGAGGCUUUGAGGACUGGAGAGGUGAGUGGAAUUCCCAGUGUAGAGGUGAAAUUCGUAGAUAUUCGCAAGAACACCAGUGGCGAAGGCGGCUCACUGGCCCGGUACUGACGCUGAGGUGCGAAAGCGUGGGGAGCAAACAGG